rnacentral:rRNA from 1 species
AACGAACGCUGGCGGCAGGCCUAACACAUGCAGGUCGAGCGCCCCUUCGGGUGAGCGGCGGACGGGUGAGUAACGCGUGGGAAUAUGCCCUUCUCUACGGCAUAGUCCUGGGAAACUGGGGGUAAUACCGUAUACGCCCUUUGGGGGAAAGGUUUAUCGGGGAAGGAUUAGCCCGCGUUGGAUUAGGUAGUUGGUGGGGUAAUGGCCUACCAAGCCGACGAUCCAUAGCUGGUGUGAGAGGAUGAUCAGCCACACUGGGACUGAGACACGGCCCAGACUCCUACAGGAGGCAGCAGUGGGGAAUCUUAGACAAUGGGGGCAACCCUGAUCUAGCCAUGCCGCGUGAGUGAUGAAGGCCUUAGGGUUGUAAAGCUCUUUCAGCUGGGAAGAUAAUGACGGUACCAGCAGAAGAAGCCCCGGCUAACUCCGUG